ACGCUCAAACCUUUCAAGGGAGGAGCCUGACGCCAAAUCAGUGACUUUCUCCCAGAUUCCUAGGGGUGAUUCACUUCUACUUUCUGACCAAAACUACUGCGAAGAAAUGAGAGAUUAUUCAUUCUUUUAAACACGUUCUUCUUCUUUCGCCGUGGGUGGAAAAACAAGACUCGAGAGGGACUACUUGCUUCAGUUCAUUUGAUUAUAAGGUGCACAUCCUACCAUCCACCACUAGGAGAUUUCCUUUUCUGAAAACCGACAAGGCAACUAAUUUCACGACAUUGUUACCUAGGUGCACAUCCUACCAUCCACCACUAGGAGAUUUCCUUUUCUGAAAACCGAC
rnacentral:misc_RNA from 1 species